GGGCGGUUAGCUCAGCUGGUUAGAGCGUCACAUUGACAUUGUGAAGGUCGGAGGUUCGAGCCCUCUACCGCCCACCA
rnacentral:tRNA from 1 species